UACAGAGGUCCCAAGCGUUGUUCUGAUUCACUGGGCGUAAAGGGUGCGUAGGCGGUCGGGUAAGUCUGAUGUGAAAUCUCACAGCUUAACUGUGAAACUGCAUUGGAUACUAUCCGGCUAGAGGAAUGGAGGGGAGACUGGAAUACUUGGUGUAGCAGUGAAAUGCGUAGAUAUCAAGUGGAACACCAGUGGCGAAGGCGAGUCUCUGGACAUUUCCUGACGCUGAGGCACGAAAGCCAGGGGAGCAAACGGG
rnacentral:rRNA from 1 species